rnacentral:rRNA from 1 species
UACGGAGGGUGCAAGCGUUGUCCGGAAUCACUGGGCGUAAAGAGCUCGUAGGCGGUUCAGCAAGUCGGGUGUGAAACCUCCAGGCUCAACCUGGAGACGCCACCCGAUACUGCUGCGACUUGAGUCCGGUAGGGGACCACGGAAUUCCUGGUGUAGCGGUGAAAUGCGCAGAUAUCAGGAGGAACACCGGUGGCGAAGGCGGUGGUCUGGGCCGGAACUGACGCUGAGGAGCGAAAGCGUGGGGAGCGAACAGG